rnacentral:rRNA from 1 species
UUACCAGGUCAAGACAUGGGCGUGAUUGACAGGCUAAUGACUUUUCUCGAUUCCAUGGAUGGUGGUGCAUGGUCGCACUUAGUUGGUGCAGUGAUUUGUCAGGUUUAUUCCGGUAACGAACGAGACCUCGGCCUUGUAAAUAGCUAUGCUGCUUACAGGGACAUUGGCGGCUACGCCAAGGAAGCUCGAGGCAAUUGCAGAUCUGGAAUGCCCUUAGAUGUCCUGGGUCGCACGCGUGCUACAAUGACGCCACGAACGAGCUUGCGUGAUGAAAGUUACGCAUAAUCAGCAGUCGGCGUCUUAAGGGAUAGUCUCUUGUAACUGUGGGACUCCAACUAGGAAUGUCUCGUAAGCACAAGUCAACAUCUUGUGUUGAUUACGUCCCUGCUCUUUGUACACACCGCCCGUCGCUCCUACCGAUCGAGUGUUUUGUGAAUUUGAUGGACGUAAGGAAGUCAAAUAAACCUGAGCACUAGAGAAGAGAAGCGACAGCGAGGAAG